ACAGUUUUACAAAUAAUAACAUUUUACUACAAAAAAUAAAUAUCUCUCUUUCUCCUCGUCUCUCUCUAGGGUUUCCGUAAAUUCACAUUUAGGCGUUUCAAAUCAGCUGAUGCAAAAUUGAAGAGAGGUGGCGAAGAUGAGUCUGCGUAGGGGUUCGAAAGUGUGGGUUCAGGACAGAGACUCCGCCUGGGUUGCGGAUGUGGUCAUCGAGUUUAUCGGAAAACAAGUUCAACUCCUCACUGAAUUUAACAAAAAAGAAAAAGUGUUGCCUGUUAUUAAGGAACUCAUGAGCAGUGAGUGUUUGGAUAUACAGAGGAGACACGGAUGGUCAACUUGCUCAAAUGUAAAGAUUAAUCAGUAGCAUCUCUCCUUCGUCAAUGCUGCAUCCCAGAAGCCUCACAAGAUUUCGGUGUUGAAGUUCAGAAAUACAUAAAACCUCAUUCUUGAACUCGUCUAGUCCUUGUUUAGAAGUCUUCGAGAGCCUUUUUACUGCUAUUUCUGUUCCCUCCUCCAAGAUUCCCUGAAACAAGUUUCGUUACUUUUAUAAGGACUUAAAGUAUUUACUCAUGAUUAUGGAUUCAAUUCAUAUAUUUAAUUAUUAAACAUUUUAGACUUAUUCUUUUA